rnacentral:ncRNA from 1 species
CCAGAGCACGGCGCGAGCCACUCCAGAAUGAGCUGACUGGAGAAGGUCACGAUGCUCGCCCCGGGCCUGUGCGACUCACCCCACCACCUCGGGAUCUGACUCACCAUCAGCUGGAAGAAAUCCAUCAGGCUCUGCAGACCCCAAUGAGCACCGGCGCCCAGGGCCAGCAGGGUCACCACCAGUCGGGGCAGGAAGCUCAAGGUCUGUUCGUUGAUGGAGGUGGCCGCCUGGAAGAUGGCCACCAGCAGACCGACGAACAGACUCGGCAGUAUGGGGGAGUGGGUUGCACCAGAAGUAGAUAGCUUAACCUUCGGGAGGGCGUUUACCACGGUGUGAUUCAUGACUGGGGUGAAGUCGUAACAAGGUAACCCUAGGGGAACCUGGGGUUGGAUCACCUCCUUA